UCUUAGCGAAUGAAGAAAUAAAGUGUAGACAACAAAUUAAAAUGACAUUUUUGGAAGGAGGAAUUGGGGAGAGAUGGUAACAAAGCAUCCAGUUGUAGUCCCCGAAAGGAAGAAGUCACCUAGUUCAUGACGUUGUUACUUCAUGACAUUGCUUAACUAUACAGAUGCUAGCUCAUCAAACAAUUUGGCAACUUUCAAACAUGGAUUAUGCGCACAAGGUACACUGGCCAAUGACUGCACUUGAAUGCUUUAACAGGACUGUUCAUUAUUGUAUUGACCUCAUUGACUGUCCCAAGACAUGGAUGUUUAUGAUGACUAUGUCAGCAUGUUGAUUGACUUUAAUCACAUUUUGACUUGUCCUUUGAGCUAUCUUCUCUCUAUUUUGUGAUUACCCCUUGAAUGACUAUAUAUUGUCUCUUAUGUCUUGGCUAUUGUGUAAUCUUCUGGAAG